GAGAAAUGUGGUUAAGCUCGGAGUCAAUAGCACCCUCUGCAACAAUAACAAUUGACUUUCUCUUGCCCAACUUACGGACAGAGCUCAAAGAAUUGCACAAUUCGUCUUGCCAUUUGCCGACUUCAGCAGGUCUCUCAGGGAUAAAGACGAAAUCAGCACCGGUAGCCAAUGCAGCUAAAACAGCCAACCAACCGCAAUGACGACCCAUGACUUCAACGAUGAAAGCACGAGAAUGGGAAAUAGCAGUAGAAGAAAUGGAGUCGACGGCUUCGCAAAUACGGUGAAGAGAAGAGAAGGCACCGAUAGUAACGUCAGUUGAAGACAUAUCGUUAUCGAUUGAACCGACCAAACCGACAAUGGUAAGAUGGCGGUAGAGCUUGGCUUGCUCGGGAGUAAUAGCCUUGGUGUCCUCCAACUCUUUAACCAAACCGGGCCAGUCAGAACGGAAGAUAUCAGCACCGGUCAAAGAACCAUCACCACCGCAAACAAUAAUGGAAUCAAUACCAGCGGAAAUAAGGUUCUUGGCAGCACGAAGACGACCAGGACGCUCACGGAAAGCCAUACAACGAGCGGUACCAAUAAGAGUACCACCCUCAGCAAGCCAACCACGGACAUCACCCCAUUGCAAUUGCUUGAUCAUAUCACCACCUUGAACAAGACCUUCAUAACCUUCAUAAAUAGCGAAAGCAUCACAACCACGGUGAAUGGCAAUACGAGCGACGGCACGAACAACAGCGUUCAUACCAGGGGAGUCACCAC